AUGCAGUCGAACGAUGAACCGGUUUCGGCCGGGGAUUAGUGGCGAACGGGUGAGUAACACGUGGGCAAUCUGCCCUGCACUCUGGGAUAAGCCCGGGAAACUGGGUCUAAUACCGGAUACGACACUCCGAGGCAUCUUGGGGUGUGGAAAGUUCCGGCGGUGCAGGAUGAGCCCGCGGCCUAUCAGCUUGUUGGUGGGGUAAUGGCCUACCAAGGCGACGACGGGUAGCCGGCCUGAGAGGGUGACCGGCCACACUGGGACUGAGACACGGCCCAGACUCCUACGGGAGGCAGCAGUGGGGAAUAUUGCACAAUGGGCGAAAGCCUGAUGCAGCGACGCCGCGUGAGGGAUGACGGCCUUCGGGUUGUAAACCUCUUUCAGCAGGGAAGAAGCGAAAGUGACGGUACCUGCAGAAGAAGCACCGGCUAACUACGUGCCAGCAGCCGCGGUAAUACGUAGGGUGCGAGCGUUGUCCGGAAUUAUUGGGCGUAAAGAGCUCGUAGGCGGUUUGUCGCGUCGAUUGUGAAAGCCCGGGGCUUAACCCUGGGUCUGCAGUCGAUACGGGCAGGCUAGAGUUCGGCAGGGGAGACUGGAAUUCCUGGUGUAGCGGUGAAAUGCGCAGAUAUCAGGAGGAACACCGGUGGCGAAGGCGGGUCUCUGGGCCGAUACUGACGCUGAGGAGCGAAAGCGUGGGGAGCGAACAGGAUUAGAUACCCUGGUAGUCCACGCCGUAAACGGUGGGCACUAGGUGUGGGCAACAUUCCACGUUGUCCGUGCCGCAGCUAACGCAUUAAGUGCCCCGCCUGGGGAGUACGGCCGCAAGGCUAAAACUCAAGGAAUUGACGGGGGCCCGCACAAG
rnacentral:rRNA from 2 species